UACGAAGGGGGCGAGCGUUGUUCGGAUUUACUGGGCGUAAAGGGCGCGCAGGCGGCUAUCCAAGUCAGGCGUGAAAGCCCCGGGCUUAACCUGGGAGGUGCGUCUGGGACUGGGUGGCUAGAGAUCGGGAGAGGAGAGUGGAAUUCCCAGUGUAGAGGUGAAAUUCGUAGAUAUUGGGAAGAACACCGGUGGCGAAGGCGGCUCUCUGGACCGAUACGUGACGCUGAGGCGCGAAAAGCGUGGGGGAGCAAACAGG
rnacentral:rRNA from 1 species